ACGCUCAUGAAUAAUAAAUUUGGAAUGUAAAGAGAAUUUAAAUUUAGACUCUCUUGUUAUCAAAUGCACAGAAAGAGCAGUGUCAUAUAGGGCAGGUAAAUUCAAAUUAUUUAAUAUUUGGUAAGCAAAGCAUAUACUUAAAAAUAAAUACUUGUAGAAGCACACAGGCCAUAUAACAAAUAGAAUACUAGAUGUACUGUUUCUGCAAUUAUGUCUCUGUUUGUUUUUUCAGGGUACAGUGAAAUUUUCAAGAGUAAGACAAGUACUGAUGUGUAUAAUCAAUCCAAAAAGCAACCUACAACUCUCUUCUCAUUUUCUUAAAAAGAACAGAUACACUUGAGUGCUCUUGUGUAGCUUCAUCACCACUGCUCGAGGUCUCCAAGCAGUUUCUUUGCUAAGAGCAUGUGGUUUCAAAGUCACAGCCUUCAAAAGGUCAGUACAGGCAUACAUGUCCUUGAAAAGAUUGCCCUUUCUUAUGCUGUGCAUCCAGGAUGGGAGAUGAGACGAACUGUGGGAACAGCAAAAAGCAUCAGGAAAUCAAGCUUGGAUGAAUAGCCAAGACUAACACACCUGUUGAAGUACGUGUUCCGGUUAUUUUUCAGUAGCACAUCCAUCGAGAACAGAAAAAAAAAAAAAAAAAAAGCUUCACGUCAUCCUUGUUAGCUGAGCAUGCAUGUUACAAUAACACUGCAUCACAGGAAAUAACAGUUGAGACAACUAAAACUACUGGGAAAAUCGUUAAACAUACUAUCUGCAAUAAUAUUGCUUCAGUAAAUGAAGAAGACAUCAAGCUAUCAAUUUCUUGGUAAAUGGUAUUUAAUUUGCGUAUAACAUAGCUGAUUAUGGGCACCUGUACCUGGGAACAACAGUUCUGAUCACAGAUUCUGCAUGAAUUUGCCCUUCAGAUGGACCCUCUGAAUACAGACCAGACACCAAAAUUUAUUUCUUAAAGAGAUCAGGAAUCCCACUGGGAAAACUUCUGUAAUAACAUUUGUAUUUCAGCAGGCUACAUCCAGACUGCAAAGGUCAAAUCAUAUUCAUGAUUCAAAAUCCCCAAAGCAAAGCUGGGCAAUCAUUGCAACAAGGCCUUCAGCAUUCCUGAAGUCGUAGGACCAAAGGAAACUCCCCUUGUUCUCUGAUACUUACUGCUGUGAAGCUGAUACAAGCAUCUACUAUAAGUGAACAACAAAAAAGUAUUUAGAAAUUUAAAGCAUCUUUAUUAGAUUUAUUUAUUUAUUAUUUAUUUGAUCAAGAAAGAAUUUUUCAACAAUCAAAACUUUCCAAGAACAGAAACUCCAACAUUGUUACCAAUGGCAAUUACAGAAUCUUUCAUCAGUAUGUUUUAUGUUAGUAUAACCAAGCAGAGAAUUAAUCUGACAUAGACACCACUUUCAACUGUACACUAUUAGGAAAUUAGAAGUCAAAACUGGAUUUGCCUAGAAGCUGUUUGUUCUCAGAACAGCUUUAAAAGAUAUUACAGAAGCCUCAUACAUAUAAAUGGAUGAACAGUAAAAUAACAUUUUGUUUGGUUAAAAAAUUACCUUGUCAUAGUAUUUAGAGAUUUGUUCCGGAUUAUCUUACGAUAAAUUGAAAAAUUCAAUUUUUGAAACUAAAGUAACCUUCAAAUGAGAUGAAGUACACAUGCUUAUUGCCGAAACCAGGAAUACUUCUUCAGGACUAGCUCAUUUUUCACAAGACACUGCUAACACAAAAGUGCUUAGUAUGCUAGAUAUUAGGGUCUUUGUUCCAGUGUAACACAAUGUUGAAAUAGGAGUUUAAAUAACAUUUAAACUUCUGGCUUCAAAUGCUAUUUUAAUGAAAAACUUUUCAUAAACCAAAAUCUUUUAUAUCAACUAGCUCAAGUGAAAUAGGAAAUAGAAAUCAGAGAUGUUCGUUGUUUGAUGUGGCUAUUCUAGAGGAAUAAAAGAAGUCUUUGGCAGGCUACUUUUGAUACA
ensembl:lncRNA